UAUUGAUCUCCAUCCGAUGACGUGUCGC
rnacentral:piRNA from 1 species